GUAUGUAAGAAUUCAGCAGUACAUAUACUAAAAUGGGAAUGAUACAGAGAAGAUUAGCAUGGCCCCUGUGCAAGGAUGACAUGUAAAUUCAUGAAAUGUUCCAUAUUUCC
rfam:Octopus bimaculoides Scaffold303034_contig_30, whole genome shotgun sequence.